rnacentral:rRNA from 1 species
GUGGGGAAUCUUGGGCAAUGGGCGAAAGCCUGACCCAGCGACGCCGCGUGAAGGAUGAAGGUCUUCGGAUUGUAAACUUCUGUGAGGACAGAAAAAGGGUGCAUUCAUUAAUACCGUGUGCAUUUGAUAGUAUGUCCAGAGGAAGCCCCGGCUAACUCCGUGCCAGCAGCCGCGGUAAUACGGAGGGGGCUAGCGUUGUUCGGAAUUACUGGGCGUAAAGGGCGCGUAGGCGGCUUGCUAAGUCGGUGGUGAAAUCCCGUGGCUCAACUACGGAACUGCCAUCGAUACUGGCGAGCUUGAAUCCGGGAUAGGUCGGCGGAAUUGCUGGUGUAGCGGUGAAAUGCGUAGAUAUCAGCAGGAACACCGAUGGCGAAGGCAGCUGGCUGGACCGGUAUUGACGCUGAGGCGCGAAAGCGUGGGUAGCAAACAGGAUUAGAUACCCUUGUAGUCC